rnacentral:rRNA from 1 species
UUAAGCGACUAAGCGUACACGGUGGAUGCCCUGGCAGUCAGAGGCGAUGAAGGACGUGCUAAUCUGCGAUAAGCGUCGGUAAGGUGAUAUGAACCGUUAUAACCGGCGAUUUCCGAAUGGGGAAACCCAGUGUGUUUCGACACACUAUCAUUAACUGAAUCCAUAGGUUAAUGAGGCGAACCGGGGGAACUGAAACAUCUAAGUACCCCGAGGAAAAGAAAUCAACCGAGAUUCCCCCAGUAGCGGCGAGCGAACGGGGAGCAGCCCAGAGCCUGAAUCAGUGUGUGUGUUAGUGGAAGCGUCUGGAAAGGCGCGCGAUACAGGGUGACAGCCCCGUACACAAAAAUGCACAUAUUGUGAGCUCGAUGAGUAGGGCGGGACACGUGGUAUCCUGUCUGAAUAUGGGGGGACCAUCCUCCAAGGCUAAAUACUCCUGACUGACCGAUAGUGAACCAGUACCGUGAGGGAAAGGCGAAAAGAACCCCGGCGAGGGGAGUGAAAAAGAACCUGAAACCGUGUACGUACAAGCAGUGGGAGCACGCUUAGGCGUGUGACUGCGUACCUUUUGUAUAAUGGGUCAGCGACUUAUAUUCUGUAGCAAGGUUAACCGAAUAGGGGAGCCGAAGGGAAACCGAGUCUUAACUGGGCGUUAAGUUGCAGGGUAUAGACCCGAAACCCGGUGAUCUAGCCAUGGGCAGGUUGAAGGUUGGGUAACACUAACUGGAGGACCGAACCGACUAAUGUUGAAAAAUUAGCGGAUGACUUGUGGCUGGGGGUGAAAGGCCAAUCAAACCGGGAGAUAGCUGGUUCUCCCCGAAAGCUAUUUAGGUAGCGCCUCGUGAAUUCAUCUCCGGGGGUAGAGCACUGUUUCGGCAAGGGGGUCAUCCCGACUUACCAACCCGAUGCAAACUGCGAAUACCGGAGAAUGUUAUCACGGGAGACACACGGCGGGUGCUAACGUCCGUCGUGAAGAGGGAAACAACCCAGACCGCCAGCUAAGGUCCCAAAGUCAUGGUUAAGUGGGAAACGAUGUGGGAAGGCCCAGACAGCCAGGAUGUUGGCUUAGAAGCAGCCAUCAUUUAAAGAAAGCGUAAUAGCUCACUGGUCGAGUCGGCCUGCGCGGAAGAUGUAACGGGGCUAAACCAUGCACCGAAGCUGCGGCAGCGACACUAUGUGUUGUUGGGUAGGGGAGCGUUCUGUAAGCCUGUGAAGGUGUGCUGUGAGGCAUGCUGGAGGUAUCAGAAGUGCGAAUGCUGACAUAAGUAACGAUAAAGCGGGUGAAAAGCCCGCUCGCCGGAAGACCAAGGGUUCCUGUCCAACGUUAAUCGGGGCAGGGUGAGUCGACCCCUAAGGCGAGGCCGAAAGGCGUAGUCGAUGGGAAACAGGUUAAUAUUCCUGUACUUGGUGUUACUGCGAAGGGGGGACGGAGAAGGCUAUGUUGGCCGGGCGACGGUUGUCCCGGUUUAAGCGUGUAGGCUGGUUUUCCAGGCAAAUCCGGAAAAUCAAGGCUGAGGCGUGAUGACGAGGCACUACGGUGCUGAAGCAACAAAUGCCCUGCUUCCAGGAAAAGCCUCUAAGCAUCAGGUAACAUCAAAUCGUACCCCAAACCGACACAGGUGGUCAGGUAGAGAAUACCAAGGCGCUUGAGAGAACUCGGGUGAAGGAACUAGGCAAAAUGGUGCCGUAACUUCGGGAGAAGGCACGCUGAUAUGUAGGUGAAGUCCCUCGCGGAUGGAGCUGAAAUCAGUCGAAGAUACCAGCUGGCUGCAACUGUUUAUUAAAAACACAGCACUGUGCAAACACGAAAGUGGACGUAUACGGUGUGACGCCUGCCCGGUGCCGGAAGGUUAAUUGAUGGGGUUAGCCGCAAGGCGAAGCUCUUGAUCGAAGCCCCGGUAAACGGCGGCCGUAACUAUAACGGUCCUAAGGUAGCGAAAUUCCUUGUCGGGUAAGUUCCGACCUGCACGAAUGGCGUAAUGAUGGCCAGGCUGUCUCCACCCGAGACUCAGUGAAAUUGAACUCGCUGUGAAGAUGCAGUGUACCCGCGGCAAGACGGAAAGACCCCGUGAACCUUUACUAUAGCUUGACACUGAACAUUGAGCCUUGAUGUGUAGGAUAGGUGGGAGGCUUUGAAGUGUGGACGCCAGUCUGCAUGGAGCCGACCUUGAAAUACCACCCUUUAAUGUUUGAUGUUCUAACGUUGACCCGUAAUCCGGGUUGCGGACAGUGUCUGGUGGGUAGUUUGACUGGGGCGGUCUCCUCCUAAAGAGUAACGGAGGAGCACGAAGGUUGGCUAAUCCUGGUCGGACAUCAGGAGGUUAGUGCAAUGGCAUAAGCCAGCUUGACUGCGAGCGUGACGGCGCGAGCAGGUGCGAAAGCAGGUCAUAGUGAUCCGGUGGUUCUGAAUGGAAGGGCCAUCGCUCAACGGAUAAAAGGUACUCCGGGGAUAACAGGCUGAUACCGCCCAAGAGUUCAUAUCGACGGCGGUGUUUGGCACCUCGAUGUCGGCUCAUCACAUCCUGGGGCUGAAGUAGGUCCCAAGGGUAUGGCUGUUCGCCAUUUAAAGUGGUACGCGAGCUGGGUUUAGAACGUCGUGAGACAGUUCGGUCCCUAUCUGCCGUGGGCGCUGGAGAACUGAGGGGGGCUGCUCCUAGUACGAGAGGACCGGAGUGGACGCAUCACUGGUGUUCGGGUUGUCAUGCCAAUGGCACUGCCCGGUAGCUAAAUGCGGAAGAGAUAAGUGCUGAAAGCAUCUAAGCACGAAACUUGCCCCGAGAUGAGUUCUCCCUGACUCCUUGAGAGUCCUGAAGGAACGUUGAAGACGACGACGUUGAUAGGCCGGAUGUGUAAGCGCAGCGAUGCGUUGAGCUAACCGGUACUAAUGAACCGUGAGGCUUAACCU